rnacentral:tRNA from 1 species
GGGGGUAGCUAGGUCCCGGUGGGUCUCGCGGUCUUCAAAACCGUUGCGAGGCGGUAGAACCGUCUUGGGUGGGUUCGACUCCCAUCUACUCCCGC